rnacentral:rRNA from 1 species
UACGUAGGGUGCGAGCGUUGUCCGGAAUUAUUGGGCGUAAAGAGCUUGUAGGCGGUUUGUCGCGUCUGCUGUGAAAACUGGAGGCUCAACCUCCAGCCUGCAGUGGGUACGGGCAGACUAGAGUGCGGUAGGGGAGAUUGGAAUUCCUGGUGUAGCGGUGGAAUGCGCAGAUAUCAGGAGGAACACCGAUGGCGAAGGCAGAUCUCUGGGCCGUAACUGACGCUGAGGAGCGAAAGCGUGGGGAGCGAACAGG